rnacentral:rRNA from 1 species
GACGAACGCUGGCGGCGUGCCUAAUACAUGCAAGUCGAGCGAAUCGAUGGGAGCUUGCUCCCUGAGAUUAGCGGCGGACGGGUGAGUAACACGUGGGUAACCUGCCUGUAAGACUGGGAUAACUUCGGGAAACCGGAGCUAAUACCGGAUACUUUCUUUUCUCGCAUGAGGGAAGAUGGAAAGAUGGUUCUGCUAUCACUUACAGAUGGACCCGCGGCGCAUUAGCUAGUUGGUGAGGUAACGGCUCACCAAGGCAACGAUGCGUAGCCGACCUGAGAGGGUGAUCGGCCACACUGGGACUGAGACACGGCCCAGACUCCUACGGGAGGCAGCAGUAGGGAAUCUUCCGCAAUGGACGAAAGUCUGACGGAGCAACGCCGCGUGAGCGAAGAAGGCCUUCGGGUCGUAAAGCUCUGUUGUUAGGGAAGAACAAGUACGAGAGUAACUGCUCGUACCUUGACGGUACCUAACCAGAAAGCCACGGCUAACUACGUGCCAGCCGCCGCCGUAAGAC